GCCAGAGUAGCUCAGCUUGGAUAGAGCGACUGCCUCCUAAGCAGUAGGCCGGGAGUUCAAAUCUCCCCUCUGGCG
rnacentral:tRNA from 1 species